UGAUGACAAUAAUUAUGAUGAAAAUGAUGAUGGCGAUGAUGAUGAUCAUUAUCAUCAUCAUCAUCGUCUUCAUCAUUUUCAUCAUAAUUAUUG
rnacentral:pre_miRNA from 1 species